rnacentral:lncRNA from 1 species
GGAGAAUCUCUUCGAGGCCCUGAACAACAAGAACUGCCAGGCCCUGCGAGCUAAGCCCAAGGUGUACAUCAUACAGGCCUGUCGAGGAGAACAAAGGGACCCCGGUGAAACAGUAGGUGGAGAUGAGAUUAUGAUGGUCAUCAAAGACAGCCCGCAAACCAUCCCAACAUACACAGAUGCCCUGCAUGUUUAUUCCACGGUAGAGGGUAUGAGCUCCCAGCUGGCCCAGGGAUCCCUCUGCUCUUCCCCCUCUCCUGCCACUCCCAACUCCUGAACCUCUCCUCCAGGACCCACGCCCUUCCAGGAUCCCCUCUACCUACCCUCUGAAGCUCCCCCGAACCCACCUCUCUGGAAUUCCCAGGAUACAUCGCCUACCGACAUGAUCAGAAAGGCUCAUGCUUUAUCCAGACCCUGGUGGAUGUGUUCACGAAGAGGAAAGGACAUAUCUUGGAACUUCUGACAGAGGUGAGUUGACAAAAGGUAGCUGGGACCACCGCCCAGGCCAAGAAGGGUGCAGGCGGAGGGGGCUGAGCCUCCUCCUAACCCCUCUCCAUUUC